rnacentral:lncRNA from 1 species
ACCCUUAUUCCAUUUGUUAUUCCUUGGUUAGUCAUUUGCUGUUUUUCUUUCAUUUAUGUACCAUUGUUCAUGACAAGUGAAAACCAAUGAUCUUUAUGCUUGUGGUUUGUUUCGGGCCAUUUGUUACUCGUUGGAUUUUGGUGUUGACUGGAUUAUGCUGCUUUCAUGUGUAAUAUUUAUUCUUGUAUUGUCGCUGUUAGAUAUUCAGUAUGUCAUAAACCAAAUUAAAUC